GACUGGCAAAUUGACGUAAAGCUUGAUUCGGGUUUUUACAUUUAGUACUGUAAAACCAGAACUGUGAUUUCAACACUUUACAAGACUCAAAUAAAGUCAUAAACCUGUCUCCACAAGUGUCAUUCUUUGUUUUCUCUUUUCUAACAUGUUGCAGUACAAAGUCUACUCUUGACUGGGAGGAGGCUCUUCAUCGGAUGGCUUCCUGUUUCCACGACGCUCGUUCCAUCUUGACCAUGCCCACCUUAAGACAAAGAACCCUCCGAUAGCAUAAACCUGCCACAAGACAAUGGGAUUUGUAUUAGGUUCAGCCCCUUCUGUUUCGAGCUUCAACGAAGGCAAAUCCUGUCGCGGAAACUUCACUACAGCAGCUUUCUCCUCUUUUUCAGCUGAAGCAAUUGGUUUGAGGUCUGAAGUAGCAGCGGUGGGUUCAAUCUUCUUACUAGAUGCCGGCGGCGGUUUGAAAAGCUGAAGAACACUAGAGAUAAAUGAUGCAAGUGGGUUCGUGGGAUUGUUUUUCUGGUCAUCGGUAACCGUAAUAGAGUCACCGGAGAUUGUUGUUGUUGUUGUGGUGUCCGCCAUAGCUAAGUUUUU
rnacentral:misc_RNA from 1 species